rnacentral:lncRNA from 1 species
AGGCUCAGCGGAUGAGCUGAGCCUCCCUACGCAUUGCCUCGUUUGCCGCAUUUCGGCAUGGACGUGAGGGUGGUCUUACUUCUUGCUUUGCUCGUUGGAAUAACCUAUGCCAAUCCUCGCUGCUGGAACGUAAAAAAUGGAGUCGUCUGCUUCGGCAAGAAUUACUACUACAGUAAGACAACCGAUCCGGAUGGAAGCGUUCAAGAACAAAUGUCUUACAGCUCCAGCCAAGCGAUAAUCGUUUAGCAGGUUACAGCACUUGCUUUGAUGUUUUCAUAGCAGAACUUUUCCCUGCGGAUCUUUCCCUGUGGUAUGUUCGUGGUCCCAAUGGAUCGUUGCCAUGGAGUACAACGCGGCCGGACUGCGCCUUCAGGAGCAAGACCGGUCCAUGCUACCAUGCACUGAGUUCCUCAGGUCCUGUAGCCUGAGGCAAUGGCAUUCGCCACCUCCUCGCUUGUCUAUCGCUCUUCUCCGUGUCUGCAAUCCUGGUUGAGCCGCAAUGCUCGCGCUAGGUUUAAGAAUAAGUUGUUGAACUAAUAUAUUUUCAUUUUGAUCUCAUUAAGGUGACUUCUAAUAAAAAUUG